rnacentral:rRNA from 1 species
GCUUAACACAUGCAAGUCGAGGGGCAGCAUGGUCUUAGCUUGCUAAGGCCGAUGGCGACCGGCGCACGGGUGAGUAACACGUAUCCAACCUGCCGUCUACUCUUGGACAGCCUUCUGAAAGGAAGAUUAAUACAAGAUGGCAUCAUGAGUCCGCAUGUUCACAUGAUUAAAGGUAUUCCGGUAGACGAUGGGGAUGCGUUCCAUUAGAUAGUAGGCGGGGUAACGGCCCACCUAGUCUUCGAUGGAUAGGGGUUCUGAGAGGAAGGUCCCCCACAUUGGAACUGAGACACGGUCCAAACUCCUACGGGAGGCAGCAGUGAGGAAUAUUGGUCAAUGGGCGAGAGCCUGAACCAGCCAAGUAGCGUGAAGGAUGACUGCCCUAUGGGUUGUAAACUUCUUUUAUAAAGGAAUAAAGUCGGGUAUGCAUACCCGUUUGCAUGUACUUUAUGAAUAAGGAUCGGCUAACUCCGUGCCAGCAGCCGCGGUAAUACGGAGGAUCCGAGCGUUAUCCGGAUUUAUUGGGUUUAAAGGGAGCGUAGAUGGAUGUUUAAGUCAGUUGUGAAAGUUUGCGGCUCAACCGUAAAAUUGCAGUUGAUACUGGAUAUCUUGAGUGCAGUUGAGGCAGGCGGAAUUCGUGGUGUAGCGGUGAAAUGCUUAGAUAUCACGAAGAACUCCGAUUGCGAAGGCAGCCUGCUAAGCUGCAACUGACAUUGAGGCUCGAAAGUGUGGGUAUCAAACAGGAUUAGAUACCCUGGUAGUCCACACGGUAAACGAUGAAUACUCGCUGUUUGCGAUAUACAGCAAGCGGCCAAGCGAAAGCGUUAAGUAUUCCACCUGGGGAGUACGCCGGCAACGGUGAAACUCAAAGGAAUUGACGGGGGCCCGCACAAGCGGAGGAACAUGUGGUUUAAUUCGAUGAUACGCGAGGAACCUUACCCGGGCUUAAAUUGCAGAUGAAUUACGGUGAAAGCCGUAAGCCGCAAGGCAUCUGUGAAGGUGCUGCAUGGUUGUCGUCAGCUCGUGCCGUGAGGUGUCGGCUUAAGUGCCAUAACGAGCGCAACCCUUGUUGUCAGUUACUAACAGGUUCCGCUGAGGACUCUGACAAGACUGCCAUCGUAAGAUGUGAGGAAGGUGGGGAUGACGUCAAUCAGCACGGCCCUUACGUCCGGGGCUACACACGUGUUACAAUGGGGGGUACAGAGGGCCGCUACCACGCGAGUGGAUGCCAAUCCCAAAAACCUCUCUCAGUUCGGACUGGAGUCUGCAACCCGACUCCACGAAGCUGGAUUCGCUAGUAAUCGCGCAUCAGCCACGGCGCGGUGAAUACGUUCCCGGGCCUUGUACACACCGCCCGUCAAGCCAUGGGAGCCGGGGGUACCUGAAGUGCGUAACCAAGAGGAGCGCCCUAGGGUAAAACUGGUGACUGGGGCUAAG